rnacentral:rRNA from 1 species
GUCCCAGUUCGGAUUGUAGUCUGCAACCCGACUACAUGAAGCUGGAAUCGCUAGUAAUCGCGAAUCAGAAUGCCGCGGUGAAUGCGUUCCCGGGUCUUGUACACACCGCCCGUCACACCAUGGGAGUUGGAAAUGCCCGAAGCCAGUGACCCAACCGUAAGGAGGGAGCUGUCGAAGGUGGAGCCGAUGACUGGGGUGAAGUCGUAACAAGGUACC